ensembl:lincRNA
AGUCCCUUUAUUAAUCUGGGGUCGCCACAGCGGAAUGAACCGCCAACUUAUCCAGCAUAUUUUUUACACAGCGGAUUCAUGCAGCAUACAUUGACUUUGCCAGUGUGGACUUUUUUUCUGCAACCAGUGGGUAGCACAUUCGCCUCAUAGCAACAAGGUCACUUGAUCGAUCCUUGGCUGGGUCAAUAGGCCUUUCUGUGUGGAGUUUGCAUGUUCUCCCCGUGUUCGCGUGGGUUUCCUCCAGGUGCCCCGGUUUCCAAAGACGUGGUAAAGGAACGAACCUUUCCUCGUUUUUAGGUCAAUUUGAAUACAAUUCAGAGGGGUGGCAUGGGGGCGCAGUGGGUAGUGCUGUCGCAUCACAGCAAGAUGGUCGCUGGUUUGAGCCUUGGAUGGGUUUCCCCUCCAC